UUAGAGUUUGAUCCUGGCUCACGACGAACGCUGGCGGCGUGCUUAACACAUGCAAGUCGAACGGAGUUACGUUUUCGGAUGUAACUUAGUGGCGAACGGGUGAGUAACGCGUGAGGAACCUGCCUCUCAGUGGGGGACAACAGUUGGAAACGACUGCUAAUACCGCAUAAUGUUAUUGAACGGCAUCGUUUGAUAACCAAAGAUUUAUUGCUGAGAGAUGGCCUCGCGUCUGAUUAGCUAGUUGGUGGGGUAACGGCCCACCAAGGCGACGAUCAGUAGCCGGACUGAGAGGUUGACCGGCCACAUUGGGACUGAGAUACGGCCCAGACUCCUACGGGAGGCAGCAGUGGGGAAUAUUGGGCAAUGGGCGAAAGCCUGACCCAGCAACGCCGCGUGAAGGAAGAAGGCCUUCGGGUUGUAAACUUCUUUUACCAGGGACGAACACAAUGACGGUACCUGGAGAAAAAGCAACGGCUAACUACGUGCCAGCAGCCGCGGUAAUACGUAGGUUGCAAGCAUUGUCCGGAAUUACUGGGUGUAAAGGGCGUGUAGGCGGAGAUGCAAGUUGGGAGUGAAAUCCAUGGGCUCAACCCAUGAACUGCUUUCAAAACUGCAUCCCUUGAGUAUCGGAGAGGCAAGCGGAAUUCCUAGUGUAGCGGUGAAAUGCGUAGAUAUUAGGAGGAACACCAGUGGCGAAGGCGGCUUGCUGGACGACAACUGACGCUGAGGCGCGAAAGCGUGGGGAGCAAACAGGAUUGAGAACCCGUGUGAGUGCACGGGGUAAGCGAGGAAUAGUAGUGGUGGGAGGAGUGACCCCUGCGGUGCCGCAGUUAACACAAUAAGUAUUCCACGUGGGGAGUAGGACCGCAAGGUUGAAAGUCAAAGGAAUUGACGGGGGCCCGCACAAGCAGUGGAUUAUGUGGUUUAAUUCGACGCAACGCGAAGAACCUUACCAGGAUUUGACAUCCAAGUAACGAAGCAGAGAUGCAUUAGGUGCCCUUCGGGGAAAGUUGAGACAGGUGGUGCAUGGUUGUCGUCAGCUCGUGUCGUGAGAUGUUGGGUUAAGUCCCGCAACGAGCGCAACCCCUAUUGUCAGUUGCUACGCAAGAGCACUCUAGCGAGACUGCCGUUGACAAAACGGAGGAAGGCGGGGACGACGUCAAAUCAUCAUGCCCCUUAUGUCCUGGGCUACACACGUAAUACAAUGGCCGUCAACAAAGGGAAGCAAAGCCGCGAGGUGGAGCAAACCCCCAAAGACGGUCUCAGUUCGGAUUGCAGGCUGCAACUCGCCUGCAUGAAGCUGGAAUUGCUAGUAAUCGUGGAUCAGCAUGCCACGGUGAAUACGUUCACCGGGCAUUGUACACAGCGCCCGUC
rnacentral:rRNA from 1 species